AUUGAACGCUGGCGGCAGGCCUAACACAUGCAAGUCGAGCGGAGCGGCGGACGGGUGAGUAAUGCCUAUGAAUCUGCCUGGUAGUGGGGGAUAACGUUCGGAAACGGGCGCUAAUACCGCAUACUAUCAGAUUAGCCUAGGUCGGAUUAGCUAGUUGGUGGGGUAAAGGCCUACCAAGGCGACGAUCCGUAACUGGUCUGAGAGGAUGAUCAGUCACACUGGAACUGAGACACGGUCCAGACUCCUACGGGCGGCAGCAGUGGGGAAUCUUGGACAAUUGGCGAAAGUCUGACCCAGCCACGCCGCGUGAGUGAAGAAGGUUUUCGGAUCGUAAAGCACUGUUAUUGGGGAAGCGUUAUCAAACGAAGAAGCAACGGCUAACUUCGUGCCAGCCGCCGCGGUAAUAC
rnacentral:rRNA from 1 species